rnacentral:rRNA from 1 species
AGUGAACGCUGGCGGUAGGCCUAACACAUGCAAGUCGAACGGCAGCACAGUAAGAGCUUGCUCUUACGGGUGGCGAGUGGCGGACGGGUGAGGAAUACAUCGGAAUCUACUUUUUCGUGGGGGAUAACGUAGGGAAACUUACGCUAAUACCGCAUACGACCUACGGGUGAAAGCAGGGGAUCUUCGGACCUUGCGCGAUUGAAUGAGCCGAUGUCGGAUUAGCUAGUUGGCGGGGUAAAGGCCCCCCAAGGCGACGAUCCGUAGCUGGUCUGAGAGGAUGAUCAGCCCCCCCUGAACUAGGCCCCGUUCCCAACCCCUACGGGAGGCAGCAGUGGGGAAUUUUCGACAAUGGGCGCAAGCCUGAACCAGCCCUACCGCGUGGGUGAAGAAGGCCUUCGGGUUGUAAAGCCCUUUUGUUGGGAAAGAAAAGCAGCAGGUUAAUACCCCGCUGUUCUGACGGUACCCAAAGAAUAAGCACCGGCUAACUUCGU